rnacentral:rRNA from 1 species
ACGUACACUCCUGCGGGAGGCAGCAGUGGGGAAUAUUGGACAAUGGGCGCAAGCCUGAUCCAGCCAUGCCGCGUGAGUGAUGAAGGCCCUAGGGUUGUGAAGCUCUUUCACCGGAGAAGAUAAUGACGGUAUCCGGAGAAGAAGCCCCGGCUAACUUCGUGCCAGCAGCCGCGGUAAUACGAAGGGGGCUAGCGUUGUUCGGAAUUACUGGGCGUAAAGCGCACGUAGGCGGAUCGAUCAGUCAGGGGUGAAAUCCCAGGGCUCAACCCUGGAACUGCCUUUGAUACUGUCGAUCUGGAGUAUGGAAGAGGUGAGUGGAAUUCCGAGUGUAGAGGUGAAAUUCGUAGAUAUUCGGAGGAACACCAGUGGCGAAGGCGGCUCACUGGUCCAUUACUGACGCUGAGGUGCGAAAGCGUGGGGAGCAAACAGGAUUAGAAACCCCGGUAGUCCCU